UACAGAGGGGGCAAGCGUUGUUCGGAAUUACUGGGCGUAGAGGGCGCGUAGGCGGCCUGUUAAGUCGAACGUGAAAUCCCCGGGCUCAACCCGGGAACUGCGUCCGAGACUGGCAGGCUCGAAUCCGGGAGAGGGAUGUGGAAUUCCAGGUGUAGCGGUGAAAUGCGUAGAUAUCUGGAGGAACAUCGGUGGCGAAGGCGGCAUCCUGGACCGGUAUUGACGCUGAGGCGCGAAAGCCAGGGGAGCAAACGGG
rnacentral:rRNA from 1 species